rnacentral:sRNA from 1 species
UCCAGGAGGAGCUCCCUUCAGCGAGUGA